GCCUCUUGUUCCGGCUCCUCUUGAGCCCCUCGAUGUAUCGCUGCAGCUGCUUGGUCAGGAAGUGGUUCCGGCCGAUCUCCGAUCGGUAACCUGGAGGGCAGAACCCAACUCAGGGCAGCUCGAUGGGGUGUGUGCUUCAAGAUAUUAAGCGAUGACACUGAGGAAGACUCUUCUGAAAGAAGAGAAAAAAGGGAUCAGUCAUUUGCAGACUGCUGAGACUUCCCUGGAGCAGAGGAGAUGUAUGGCAAUAGAAACUGAGGCCCUGGCCAUCCCCCUGCCCUCUGGGCGCCCACAGCCCGGUGAAGCCACACUGACCGUUGUCGGUCUUGGAAUCGUCCUCCUCUAAAGGGCCUCCCAGGGAGCUGCCGCGGCGCACCUCCAGCUCCAACAAGAGGUGC